AUUGCUUCUCGGCCUUUUGGCUAAGAUCAAGUGUAGUAUCUGUUGCCUUAUUUUUAAAAAAUACCACAUAGAAGUUUACAAGCCCCAAAAAUGCUUGUAAUUCUGUUUUGUUUUUUGGGGUUGGAGCCUUUCUAAUGGCUCGCACUUUGCUCUCAGUUGGGUGGAUGCCUUCCUUAUCUAUCCGGUAACCCAAG